GACAGCAGCAGCCGCGGUAAUACGAAGGGUGCAAGCGUUAAUCGGAAUUACUGGGCGUAAAGCGCACGUAGGCGGCUUGGUAAGUUAGAGGUGAAAGCCCGGAGCUCAACUCCGGAAUUGCCUUUAAGACUGCCGAGCUAGCAGGUGAGAGAGGUAAGUGGAAUUCCGAGUGUAGAGGUGAAAUUCGUAGAUAUUCGGAAGAACACCAGUGGCGAAGGCGGCUUACUGGCUCAUACUGGACGCUGAGGUGCGAAAGCGUGGGGAGCAAACAGGAUUAGAUACCCCCGUAGUCCCUGUCUCUUAUAC
rnacentral:rRNA from 1 species